AAAAAAAAAAAAAAAAAAAGAUAACAGAGAAUAAGGAAUAGUGAAUUAAAACCUAACGUUAACUAAGAUUACCACGCCGAUCACCCUUUUCAAGCCGUUUCAAACGAUGCGAAUACAAUCCAACAUGAAAGAAAGCCAAAGAUGGAAGCAAAAGGAUCUGUAUGGGUAUCGAAGGCAUCAUUUCUUCUGCACUUCGAAACACCCAACUUUCUUUCCCUACUGAAAACUCUGCGCUCACUCAAAACCCUGAAAUCAGCUCCUCGUCUUCCUCUUUCUACAAUCAUAAAAAUUCAAGAAAAGGUAAACAGAGAUCGAUAGGAGAUCAUCAUAGAGGAUCCAUUGGACUGGAGAUCGGGAACUUUCCGAGGGAGAUAGAAGAGGGGUUUUGAAUGUGAGCAAGAGACAAAGAAGAUGAGAGGAGAGGUUUU
rnacentral:misc_RNA from 1 species